rnacentral:rRNA from 1 species
UACGUAGGGUGCAAGCGUUGUCCGGAAUUAUUGGGCGUAAAGAGCUCGUAGGCGGUUUGUCGCGUCGAAUGUGAAAUCCCGGGGCUCAACCCCGGGCCUGCAUUCGAUACGGGCAGACUAGAGUUCGGUAGGGGAGUCUGGAAUUCCUGGUGUAGCGGUGAAAUGCGCAGAUAUCAGGAGGAACACCGGUGGCGAAGGCGGGACUCUGGGCCGAUACUGACGCUGAGGAGCGAAAGCGUGGGGAGCGAACGGG